CUAACACAUGCAAGUCGAGGGUAGAGGUUGCUUGCAACCUUGAGACCGGCGCACGGGUGCGUAACGCGUAUGCAAUCUACCUAUACUGAGGGAUAGCCCAGAGAAAUUGGAUUAAUACCUCAUAGUAUAAUUGAAUGGCAUCAUUUGAUUAUUAAAGUUACAACGGUAUAAAGAUGAGCAUGCGUCCCAUUAGUUAGUUGGUAAGGUAACGGCUUACCAAGACAAUGAUGGGUAGGGGUCCUGAGAGGGAGAUCCCCCACACUGGUACUGAGACACGGACCAGACUCCUACGGGAGGCAGCAGUGAGGAAUAUUGGUCAAUGGGCGCAAGCCUGAACCAGCCAUGCCGCGUGCAGGAUGAAGCAUCUAUGGUGUGUAAACUGCUUUUAUACAGGAAGAAACACUCCCUCGUGAGGGAGCUUGACGGUACUGUAGGAAUAAGGACCGGCUAACUCCGUGCCAGCAGCCGCGGUAAU
rnacentral:rRNA from 1 species